GGAGGAGAAGAGAAAGAAAGGAGAGGAGGAGAAGAGAAGGAAAGCAGAGGAAAAGGAAAGGAAAAAUGAGCAAAAGAAGAUGAGAGAGGUGAGAGCGGAGCAGCUAAAGAAGAGGAAAGCGGAGGAGGAGAGGGCAAAAAGCAUCGAGCAAGACACACAACCAAGGCCAAGCAGGUACUCUUUGCGCAACUUGCCAGAGCGUCAGAGGCUCAGGAAGGAGAGAAAUGGUAAUAAUUUCAAUGAGCCACAACUCUUCUCUGAGACAAAUAUUACGUUUGAGAUUUACUGUCAUAUUUUCUAUUUUUACAGGUAGCCAAAAUUAAAUAAAUAAAAUAAAUGUUCCAUAAAUAAUUCUUUCAAUUCAAUUUCAAUACCUUGUGAUAUGUGCCGCUCAUACUUGUUAAACUUUUAACAUAGUUAAUCUGAAUCACUUUCAAAAGCAUCGAUACCUGUCUCCCAAAUUACAUGACACAACAAAGAAUUAGAGAGAGAGAGAGAGAGAGAGAGAGAGAGAAUUUGAAAAAUUGUAAUAAGCAAGUACUGCUACUCCAAUUAAAGUAAUGUUUGAAUUAUUUUAACAAAUUUAUUUGUGAGGGACUUAAACUAUGAAGGAGGAAUCUCAAGAAACAAAGCACAGUUUAGUCUGUGUUCAUACACAAAAUCCAAUCAAACUAGGUCUCCAGGGAAGACUAUUUGCUUUUAAAGCUAUAUUUCUUUGUAUAGAAGUGUUGACUUUCCAUGACUAAGCAUGUGCUCCACUCUGGUUAAUACAUACUUUCAACAGAACUUCUUUAAAAAUAUGUUAUUACAGAAGUAUUUUAAAAGAAAAUUAAUAAAAUAUUUACAGGGAUACAGUUACGUUAUCUGAGACCAAAUUUUAACUGAAAUGUUCGUAGGUGUUAAUUUUAAUUUCACUAAAACACACAUGUGUUGGUUAAGAUUGAGCUAUCAAAAAUACACCAACUGGAGUACCUUGGAUUUAAAUUGUCACUUUUCGGAUGCAAAUGCUUCUGUAGACUUUUGAAAGUUUUGAUGCAAGGGUCACCUUAAGUUACGCAUAGGCUUAAAAACAAUGUUGAAAACUGUUUCACGUUUAAUGUAAAAUAAAGACCUGGGCAUCAAUUAAGGAAUCACAGGAUAUUUUAACAACUAGUUUUCGUAACAUUGUGACAAUUUUUAAGAUGUCUUCUGAUAUGCUACUAAUAAUAUAUGAACAUGUUGCAGUUUACAAUAAUUACCGAUGAUGAAGGUGCACCCCGAAAGAAAAGAUGAAACUUGUGAAGUGCGCACUGAAUGUCUAACAGUAAUUCAGUCAUCUACAGCUUAACAUUGUGCUGCACUAAGUUACUGAAUAUGAUUAAUCCUUUCCCUGAUCAUCCCAACAUAUCUGAUCAGAUCUGGUCACCGAUUUUGGUUUUUCUCAAAAAUGAAAGGUACAAAUAAAAUAAGAAUCCAUACCAAACCUGACCCUAAAAAGGUUUGGGAGGCAUGAAUUUAUUCUGAAAUGGUCUUCCAGAUUGCUUUAAACAACUCAAAGAGAAUCCACAAAAUUUCCAAAACCACCUUAAGGUCUAUCUUAUAGAGAGAGAACCAUACAAUUAUGAGGACUUCUUGACGUGAUAUGUUCAUUGCUUUUUUUAGGAGUUUCUGUUUUGCCCAACUUUCUUUACCUUUACAAGUAAUUAAUUUUUACAUCACUCCAAAGAUUCAAAGAGUUGUAUAUAAACCUACAGUCAAAGCCUCUCCUUUGGCCUCAGCACUUUAGGAAUUUCCAUCUCCUAAACCAUUUGACCUACAGAGCCCAGAUUUUGUGUGGGUUCAUAUUAUACCUUCUAUUUACAAGACAAAAACCAAAAUCAGUGACCAGAUUUGAAAUCUUGGCAUGAGCAGGGAAGGAAUGAAUAAUAUCCACUUGUAUUACAUAACAAAUAACUACAACAAUUGUAUGAUAAAAAUAUACCUCAACAGUCAGGGAAGACAGAACUUUCUUUGGCUUCAAUCCACAAUUCUUAUCCUUCAUUCUGUAACAUAAAAACACACAUUAAAUAUAUUUUUGAUAGCAAAUUUUAAA